CUGAGCUCGCGGCGCAAGGUUCUCGUUUGUUUUGGCUUCUGCUAUUCUCAACAGUUCGUUUUGUUGGCAAGUCUUACGCGUCGUGUGAAUUGGGAAUAAAACAAUUGAAAAGUUACGACGAUUUUGCUUAAUAGAACGGAAAAUUUGUUAGCAGCAUUAACGUCGAAAGCUAGCUGCGUUCUGAUCUGUUCUGUCUGAUUUCUUAACACACACUCCGACAAAACGUGGGCGACAUCUGUCAGAAGCCUGCUAGAUUCCAUUCAAAAUCUACACACUUAUCGAAGCGUAGCGUCUAGAAAAGGCGCUGCCAACUCCUGAUUUUACGCUCGUGCGUUUGCUUUACACGUUUGUGUGCCCGUCGCCACGCCCCGUUGAGGCGUGCGCCCAUCAAGCAGUCAAGACGACUUACUCGAUUAUGAAGAUGAGCUCGCCCAGGAUCAUGCAGCAGAAACGAAGUAGUAAAUCCUCCAAUACGUCCAGGGUCUCGAUGACCACCUCGACGGCGGAGGAGAAUCUCAUCGAGUCGAAGCUCUUUAGCUGGAUGCGGCUCUUCCGCUUUGCCUCGCUGCUCUGUCGCGCCGAGUAGGAAAAUAAACAUAUAUAUGUAUUAAGAAACCCCCAACCUAAUAACAUAAUGAAAAUGCAUUAUACAUAUAUAAAAAAAAAGAUAAAGUAACAAAGUAACAGAUACUCGUGCUAGUUGCCGCUUUCAAUUCAAGUUUUCCUAUUAUGCUUAUAAAAAAAAAAAAAACAACUACAAAAACAAAAACUUUAAUAAAUUUAAAUGAAAAAAAAAAGAAAAUAUUUAAAAAAAAAUUAUAAACACUUUCUAGAUUCCGCAAUGUAGACAGUAAGAAUUGGAACUUCUUAACGAUUUAAUCAUUUGGCUUUUCUUUAACUUUCACAAUUAAGUCAAUUUUUAGUGUAAAUUCCGCUGGUUUCCGACGGAAGCUAUGCGGAAUUUGUCGCGCCUUUCGUACCUUUUGUAUUGUAAUAAGAAAUAAACAUAUAUGUGUAUAUCUGGAUCGGGUUACAUGUGUAUGAUAUAUGGCAAACCAUUUAAUGUGUUGUUUCUUCGGGUUUUAGUGCUUAAGUUUGAAAACAAUAACAGCAAACCAUAACAACAAGAAAACGAGAUAUAUUUUUGUAAUUUACAACACUGUUUUUGCGUGUCACAAAUGAGAAAGCACAUGAAACGUUUAUGCAAAGCAAAUAAAAAUAAAUACAAAUUUAACUAAAUGCUAAAACGCAAUACUAACAAUAAUAACACAAUAUAUGUAUACAUAUAGAGGAAUAUAUUUACAGAAAAUGCGCUUAGCCAACACUCAAAUACAAUACACACACACACACACACUUAGGCCCAAUCAAUAUAAAUUCAUAUACUUUCUACUCCCCCCAACAAGUAAUUGUAAAUUGCAUUUAAUCCAAAGAUGUUGCCAAUCAAGAGUAGAACAAUUUGAAAACCAUUUAAAUAAAAUAUAAAAUAAAAAUAAAAACAAAUAUCUAAAUGCAAUAUUGUUUUAAUAGUCUUUCAAUUAAACCUAACCUCAAUGAACAAAUAACAAUAACAAGCAACAGCAACAACAAAUAUCAUAAAUUUGUGAACCUUAUUUCUAUUAAUUAAUAAUUAUUAAUUAGUGUGUAAGCAAUGCAAUAAAUGCAAACACUGUACUAAAAACAUGGCAAAAAUAAUGCUUAAAAGCAGAAAAAUGUUGACAAGAUAUACAAUGCAAUAAAUCGAUAACGAUAAAUAAAUAAAA